rnacentral:rRNA from 1 species
GUUUUCAAUAUAUAUGUCGCCGCGGGGGCCUAUCAUGCAGUCGAGCGACUUUUGGGAGCUUGCUCCCAAAGUUAGCGGCGGACGGGUGAGUAAUCGUGGGCAACCUGCCUGUAAGACUGGGAUAACUUCGGGAAACCGGAGCUAAUACCGGAUAAUUCUUUUCCUCUCAUGAGGAAAAGCUGAAAGACGGCGCAAGCUGUCACUUACAGAUGGGCCCGCGGCGCAUUAGCUAGUUGGUGAGAUAACGGCUCACCAAGGCGACGAUGCGUAGCCGACCUGAGAGGGUGAUCGGCCACACUGGGACUGAGACACGGCCCAGACUCCUACGGGAGGCAGCAGUAGGGAAUCUUCCGCAAUGGACGAAAGUCUGACGGAGCAACGCCGCGUGAGCGAUGAAGGCCUUCGGGUCGUAAAGCUCUGUUGUUAGGGAAGAACAAGUACCGUUCGAAUAGGGCGGUACCUUGACGGUACCUAACCAGAAAGCCACGGCU